CACUUCAAAACGAUAUCAGAGGAUGUUUUUUUUUCAACUUCCCUUAAACUAAAGAGUUGAACAGAGUGCAAUACAUAUUGUUUUGAAAUUCACAUCUCUCCUAAGGAGUUAGGAUAUUACCGGUGGGUGGAACGGCAGUGAUUUAUAUUUUUUAGAAGGUUGGCACAGCUGUUACUUAUGUAAAAUAUGUUUUUAAUGCCAUUAUUUUCUUUCACAAAUAUCAUUGUUAUUUUCUGGUUGACAGAAUCCUUUGGUGUGUGGCACUAUUUGUCAAUGGUGACGGUGGGGGUGGUCAUACUGUUCACCGUUAUCUGUUUGAGCUGCGUCAUGUUAGUAAGAUGGAGAAAAGACCAAAAACAAACUGAUGUUACAGGGAGUGUUUUGAAGGGGAGCAAGACAGACACAGAGGGGUCUCUAAAUGUCCCUGAGCGAUACAUCAACACAGAGUUGAUGAGUACAGCCACCUCUGCCACAGCAAGCACUAUAGAAACAAACAGCACUGUGUAUGAAAGCUACGCAGGGGAGAACGGUCACUAUUACUCUACUAUUGAAGAAUCGCAACCUACCUUCUACACCCAUAUGGAGGGAGCAGAGCACCAUGGACCCUUUGGCCAUGACUAUGAAGAGGUCACCAAUGAAGAGAUGCAACUAAACCUGCAGAAUUUUCUUCCAAUAUCUCACCAUUCCCAUCCACCUUUGGCUGCUGACCCGUGUCGAGGCAACCAACAGCAGAGCUUUGAGCAGGUAUAUGGAAAGGAUAUUGAAGACGUGGAUUAUGCAUGGAGAAACAAUGGACCCUUCAUCGCACCCACUUCUCCAACCAUGAGCUCUCAGCUUCUAUUCGAGCUUGGGGGGGAACUUGUGUGAAAGUUUCAACAUUGUAAUCGUGAAAGGACACCACAUACUUUAAUAUUUUAUAAACACCAAAUGUAGUGACGUAAGGGUAAAACAGUUACAUAUUCAAAUGAUUGUAUGUGUAAAAGUAAAACAUACUGUAUAUUUAAAACAUAUAUACAUAAAACAUAUAUUAAAAAGCAAACAUGAGAUUUGUGAAUGAUGUACAGUAUCUAUGAGUUCUCUCCUUGCAUUGUUGUAUUCCUUAUUCUUUGUAAAGCCAUGACAUGGUGUAGAGGGUGGAUGUAAAGCAGUCAAAGUAUUAAAUAACGUUUGUUGGGAAAGGUAUUUAAAGGUAUAUUUAGUAAUGUACUAGAUGAAUUUGCACAAGAAAAUGCUUCUGUGAUUGCGCCGCACCAUGGGGGACCAUGAUGUUUCUUACUCUAUCCAAGCUACGUGAACGCUUCAAGCGACACAAGAAUGGUUUGACACUACAACCCCCCCGUUGGACGAGGCCCAUUUUAUACUGUAGAGUAUGCAAGCUGUGUGGAUACCAACUCUUUGAUUUAGGAAAAGAAGGGUUUGACUCUGCUACUCCUUGUUGGAUGAGUGGUGAAUAGCAUCUGAAAA
rnacentral:lncRNA from 1 species